ACCCCUAAAACCGGCUCCGGGACAGACAGUGGGGAGGCCACAGCAGCCUCAUGGCCUUUCUACAAAGAGAUGCAUGAGGUUUUGGGGUCCAGACCUUCAAUCCAGCCUCCAUGUUUGUUGGCGUCUUAUGAAGAUCCCACGCAAAUACUCAUGAACAUAAUCGACCCUCCAUCCUCACCGGUGUCCUCUCUGACAAAUUCAGAGGAAAGCACAGAGAACACUUUGGAAGACGCCAGCACAUCGGCCUCAAGCUCUGCCUCACCAGCUGGAAGAGGAAGCUGGAAGCUUCAGGCAUCAGGUCCACUUUCCCCCCGAUCCCCCA